UACGGAGGAUGCGAGCGUUAUCCGGAUUUAUUGGGUUUAAAGGGUGCGUAGGCGGGCUUUUAAGUCAGCGGUAAAAAUUCGGGGCUCAACCCCGUCCGGCCGUUGAAACUGGGGGCCUUGAGUGGGCGAGAAGAAGGCGGAAUGCGUGGUGUAGCGGUGAAAUGCAUAGAUAUCACGCAGAACCCCGAUUGCGAAGGCAGCCCUCCGGCGCCCUACUGACGCUGGGGCACGAAAGUGCGGGGAUCGAACAGG
rnacentral:rRNA from 1 species